CUACGGGGGGCUCCAGUGGGGAAUAUUGGACAAUGGGGGAAACCCUGAUCCAGCAAUGCCGCGUGUGUGAAGAAGGCCUGCGGGUUGUAAAGCACUUUCGGUUGGGAGGACUGCUUCUAGCACUAAUAUUGUUGGAAGUUGACGUUACCUUCAGAAGAAGCACCGGCUAACUCCGUGCGCAGCAGCCGCGGUAAUACGGAGGGUGAAGCGUUAAUCGGAAUUACUGGGCGUAAAGCGCGCGUAGGCGGCUAGAUCAGUCGGGUGUGAAGGCCCCGGGCUUAACCUGGGAACUGCAUCCGAUACUGUCUAGCUUGAGUACAGGAGAGGAGAGUGGAAUUCCACAUGUAGCGGUGAAAUGCGUAGAUAUGUGGAGGAACACCAAUGGCGAAGGCAGCUCUCUGGCCUGAUACUGACGCUGAGGUGCGAAAGCGUGGGGAGCAAACAGGAUUAGAUACCCCCGUAGUC
rnacentral:rRNA from 1 species